AGAAACAACUGCUAUGGACAUUUGCUCUGUGCUACAAUUGCCAAAGCUCUUUCAGGUAUCUUUUUAAAAAAAUUCUAUGCUUUGCACAACUGGUUUCUGAAAAUGGAUUUUAUGGAAACUAAAGAAAAGUGCUUUUAUGGAAAAAAACAAAAGGCCAGCAUACAGAGAAUUAAGAAGCCAGUCCAUGAGCUGAACCAAGCAAUGAUACCAUACAACAUACUUUCAUCCCAAACACUGGCACCCUAAAAGCAGUGAUUUUCCAAAAGAACAAGUACCUCUUCACUCACCCUCAGCUCCCAUGGAGGAGGACUCAGCCAUAGAAGUAAUUAUAUACAGAUGGCCAACUCUGCAUCAAUAGGCUUUGCAUAGAAUUAGAAGACAAAGUGCUUUUGGGUCCCAAAAGACAGUGAAGCUUUAUUUGGUGACUUUCAUACUGACUUCACUCUACUUACUGGUGAUGAUGGUAGGUGAAACGUUAUUUCUUCAAAAAUAUCACCUUGUGGUGGAAGAGAGAAAGAAUAUCCAUGCUUCUUUUAUCUACAGUGAAGGUGAAGAGCAACAUAAACUUCAGAGGUUGCAGUAAGUCUGGAUGCCACAUCAAACUGUUUGUGGUACUUCUAAACUUCGUGGAAGAGCCCUGUUUCAUAAAUCUGAGACAGCCUUGGUCUGAGGGAGCAAAGACAGAGAAUUCACGUGCUGCCCAGGCAUAGCCACAUAGCAGGUGGACAUCCCUGGACACUUUUCUGACCCUCAUUGGAUUUUCCUGGAAGUACGGAGAGUUACAUCCAGAGAACUCUGAACAUUUUGGAAGGACCCCAAUCCUGCAAACAAUGAAUGGCAAUAAAUCCUGGGACUGGAAAGGGGCUUCUCAACCCCAAGGCAACCAUAAAGUCCUAUACAAAGAAAGAUACAGCAGUGUGAAAGAGGCCUGGAUGAAAAAACAAAGACAGAGCCAGUGAGCCAGAGCCAGAGCCAGAGGACAAGAGAGAAAGGCAGAGAAUGGAAAACACAGACAGAGAAGGCAGAUGCGUAGAGAGACAGAGAUUCAAUGAGAAAAUAAGGAAGGAAGAAAGAAAGAAAACAAAAACGUUCUCAGCACUACAACUUCUGCCUUGUUCUGUUCCAGAACAGUAUGAGCUCAGUACUUUUUCAGACUCUCAAUUUUCUACAACUAAUAAUUUGCUCUUUCAGUUAGUGGCAAAGGCUUAACGACAAAGGUUCAUCUUUAAUAUUAGAGAGGCACUUUUAAAAUUUAUGAUGCUAAGCCUUUUGUUCUGGAUAUGGUAUGUUGCACAGGUCUAGGGACUGGGAUUUCAGAUGUCUAUUCCGUACCCUUAUUCUUUUAUUUAUUAAAUCUUUUAGUGUGUAUUUUUUUCUAUUUUCUCUUCUUUUAUUAGUAUGUAUUUCUUGAGUCAUUAACAUACAACAUAUAUAGGACUUCCUCUGAGGAUACAAUAAUGUAUAUGAUGGACAAGAUACGUAAAAGUGCCUUGAAGAGACUUGGUCUUGUGAGGGGACAGACAGGAAACAGGCAAUUAUCACCUAACUUAGGUCUGUUGUUUCAAGGUAAAAUAAGAAUAAUAACAUCUGUGUUGGCUGGGAUGUUGUGAGUGUUUGUGGAGAUAAUAGUACAAAUGAAAUUACUGAGGGACAAUGGUGAAGAUAGGGCCAUAUCAUGGAGCUUACACUAGUGAUGGAAGGAGAUGGGAGAUACAAAAGCAAGUCAAUAUUUCAGAUUUCGUAAAUGAAUGGCAAGCAUAGAGCAGUGAGGCAGAGAAUGACUGGAGAAAGAGACUAUGUUAAACUGGAUAGUAAAGGAAGAGCAGGACCCCACUAAACUAUAUGGAGUUUUGUGCAAAUCACAUGAACACACGUAGAACAUUUUAGGCUGCUCAUGUGACUUUGGAUUUGUCCUAAGGGCAAUAGUAAGCCUUUGAACUGCUUUAGCAUGAUAGGAUUUUAAAAGAUCACUGGCUGCUGUGUGAACAAAAAUAAUGUUGUAAAGAAAAGGAUAUUAGCUGUAUCAGAUCAGCUGGAGACUACUGAAAUAACCCAAGCUGGCUUGGACUACAUAGGAGUAGUGUAAACUCAUUCAUUCAUGCAAGAAAUACUUACUGAGUGCCUACUCAGUACCAGACCCUUUUCUAGGACAUGGAGUUAUAGCAGUGAACAAUAUAGAAAAAAAUCCCCGAAUUCAUGGAGACUCCAGUGAGCAGAGACAAAAAAAUAGCAACUAAAUAAGUUAAAAGGAAUUGAGUACCCUAUAAAAGUUUAUCAGGGAAAUGUUAUAAGGAAUGACUUUCGGAGUAAUGGGUAGUGAUCUUAAAUGUAUGGUCAAUGAAAAUCAGAAGUUGUAGAGAAGUGGAUAAAUUCACAGUACGUUUUAAAGUAGACCUAAUAAGACUUAAUGAAUUUGAUGUGGCAAGUGAGAAAAAUACAUCAAGGAUGAUGACUUUUAUAAUUUGACUUGAGUAUCUGGGAACAAACAAGUACAGUGCCAUAAUAAGGGCAGAAAAUUUUCCAUUCACUCAGCAACUUAUGAACUCAUUUGCUUAGUCUUUAUUGCCUCUUGCAUUAUGUAGUUUUCACUUUGCUGGAGUACUUGUAUAGAAGAUCACCAGUGAAGAAGCCAGAGAUGGUUUAUUUGGUCAUCCCAAUAAUACAUCUUAUUGUUAAUUAACUCUCAAGGGUUUUUUUUCACAAUUUUAGAAAAGGUUUAAGCAAAUGAAUUAUUUAACAUGAAUUGGCUAUGUGACCCUACUAUAAGGUGUUUAAAACACCAACAGCUUAAACUUCUUAGAUCAAAGGACAUCCUCCAGGCCAAAAUGUUUCCACUGGAACGGUUUCUUUGCUUCCUGAUUAAAAGCUUCCCUAAUAUAUUUCCACGUGUUAUUACAUAUUUUCGUAUUCACUUUGAUGGAAAGCAAGAAUAGCAGCCAAAUACAUAUUUCAUGCAUUCUUUUGAUUAAAAAUGAUAAAGGUAA
ensembl:lncRNA TRDN-AS1 TRDN antisense RNA 1